CACACUGCCGGGCAGGACAGGGCCCUAGGCUCUGACCUCUUGAGCACUGCUACGGGCCCCAGGACUGGGCACCGCCCCACACGCCAGGUCCUGGCCACCAUGGAACCACAGAGGAGCCUUGCCCGAGGCCCAACCAGGCCACCAGCGAGUGAUACAGUAGGAUCCCAGAAUGACAGCAGCGGGCUCCAGAGCCAGGAGCAGUCCCCGGCCGGCCUCUUGGCUGCGCUGACCUGUCUGCAUCAACCUUAUGGAGCUGCAGAAUGGGAGACGCGGCGCACCCUAAGGUACCGGCGUCCCAGCACAGGGCCACAUCCACCACGAGACGCAGCUGGACACCCAUCUGACCAGCUGCUCCCAUACCUCACGGGGGCUGAGGCAUCUUCCUGCCCCAGGACGUGACCUUGCAGAAGCCACAAGCGUGCCCCCUCACUGUAGGCAACACCUGCCACUCAAAUCCUCACUCUCUGCCCAAGGUUCACUUCUUCUGAGGAUGACUGGCUGGGCUAACACUGGUGGACAUCUGAGACCCGUUCCCACUCACGGUCCGGUGGCUCUCCUCUACAGCUCCUGUAAGAGUUCCACAUUUGAGCAUCUCCCAGGUCUGGGUGAUUAAUUUGUCCUCUUUUUCUAUGUCUUCAUUCUCUUUGCAUUGAUUAAAGCCUUUAUAAAAUUC